AUACGUGGAAGACUAGUGUUAUUCAUCUUUAAUAGGUUUAAAGGGUACCUAGACGGGAAAUCCAGCCCUAAAAGGGUACUAUUUUGCUAGAGUUUAGUAAGAGAGGGGGAGUACUGAUGAGUGGAGAGAUGAAAUUUGUUGAUACCAUUAGGAACAGGCAAAGGCGAAAGCGACCUUUUACAUAAAAACUGACGUUGAGGGACGAAGGCUUUAGUCGUGAACAGGAUUAGAUACCCAAGUAAUUAAAGCAGACAAUGAUGAAUGUCAUAGAUUASUUACCGUUUUUUAUUAUUAAUCUAUAAAUGAAAGUGUAAGCAUUCCACCUCWRGAGUAAUGUGGCAACGCAAAAACUGARAUCAUUAGACCGUUUCUGWAACCAGUASKGAAGUAUGUUGUUUAAUUAGAUAAUCCKCCAAAGACCUCMCCACWAUUUGUAUAUUAUUAUUUUUAAUAAUACAAGCGUUGCACGGCUGUCUUCASUUAAUGUCGUGAGAUCAGGUUAGUUCCAUUAAAUUAACGUAAACCCUUUCUUUAUUUAUAUUAUAAAGUAKAUCACCGCUAUAUUGGAUGUGAYAGSSAGGGWCUAAGACAAGUCAUCAUGGCCUUAAUAUUGUGAACGGUAGACGUGCCACAUAAUCGGAGACAAAGGGAUGCSAAWUKSGAAAAUAGSUAACCCACAAUCCGAUUUGGCUGGGGUUGGGUGUG
rnacentral:rRNA from 1 species